UGGGGAAUAUUGCACAAUGGGCGCAAGCCUGAUGCAGCCAUGCCGCGUGUGUGAAGAAGGCCUUCGGGUUGUAAAGCACUUUCAGCGGGGAGGAAGGCGAUAAGGUUAAUAACCUUGUCGAUUGACGUUACCCGCAGAAGAAGCACCGGCUAACUCCGUGCCAGCAGCCGCGGUAAUACGGAGGGUGCAAGCGUUAAUCGGAAUUACUGGGCGUAAAGCGCACGCAGGCGGUCUGUCAAGUAGGAUGUGAAAUCCCCGGGCUCAACCUGGGAACUGCAUUCGAAACUGGCAGGCUAGAGUCUUGUAGAGGGGGGUAGAAUUCCAGGUGUAGCGAUGAAAUGCGUAGAGAUCUGGAGGAAUACCGGUGGCGAAGGCGGCCCCCUGGACAAAGACUGACGCUCAGGUGCGAAAGCGUGGGGAGCAAACAGG
rnacentral:rRNA from 1 species